UACGUAGGGUGCAAGCGUUGUCCGGAAUUAUUGGGCGUAAAGAGCUCGUAGGCGGUUUGUCGCGUCGAAUGUGAAAACCCGGGGCUCAACCCCGGGCCUGCAUUCGAUACGGGCAGACUAGAGUUCGGUAGGGGAGUCUGGAAUUCCUGGUGUAGCGGUGAAAUGCGCAGAUAUCAGGAGGAACACCGGUGGCGAAGGCGGGUCUCUGGCCGAUACUGACGCUGAGGAGCGAAAGCGUGGGGAGCGAACAGG
rnacentral:rRNA from 1 species